UACGGGGGGGGUAAGCGUUGUUCGGAAUUACUGGGCGUAAAGGGCUCGUAGGCGGCCAACUAAGUCAGACGUGAAAUCCCUCAGCUUAACUGGGGAACUGCGUCUGAUACUGGAUGGCUUGGAUCCGGGAGAGGGAUGCGGAAUUCCAGGUGUAGCGGUGAAAUGCGUAGAUAUCUGGAGGAACACCGGUGGCGAAGGCGGCAUCCUGGACCGACACUGACGCUGAGGAGCGAAAGCCAGGGGAGCAAACGGG
rnacentral:rRNA from 1 species